AGGAGAUCCUGGUUCUAGUCCUAGCUGGGUCAUUACCUGUAUGACCAUCAGCAAACGAUUUCACUUAUUUGGGACUCAGUUUCUUCAUCUGUAAAAUGAGGCUGAAUUAGUAAAUCUUCAAAGUCUCUUCUAAUCUGAAAUCCUGUUGUUCCAAUUAAAAAUUUUUUUUUUCAGCUUAGAUGUUGCAUCAAAAAUUUGGUUCACUAUAUUGGAACAUCUAUGGUAUGAACUAUGGAAAGUCUUCCCCCAUCUUCGUAGUAUGAAGAGAACAUCUAUAUUGGCACCUGAGUGAUGGGCACUUUGGAUUUAGAAUAAAGGUGCGUGAGGGAGUGGCUUAGGAGUAUUC
rnacentral:lncRNA from 1 species